AGCGAUAAGUUGAGAAGGGGCCAGACCCUGGGUGCCCGGGCGACUCAGUCAUUAAGCAUCUGACUUCGCCUCGGAAAAAAAAAAAAAAGAAGAAGAAGUGGCUGGAGCUCUCGAGGUGCCUUCAAGAAACCACGCCGAAAGGAAAGCCUGACCCUGACUCCAGGGGCUGCCCCGCAAGGGAAUCAUCCUCUGACAGUGCGAACCUCCGACUCCUGUUUUUACCUUAGCUCUUCAACGUUUACACUUCAGCGGGAGCAGAACACCAUCCUUUGACCUAACUAUGGCACAGCGCCGUUCUCACAAGGCAAGAACCCCUUAGCCAUAGGGCCCCGAGAGAAAACACAGAGGCCGUUCCCAGCAGACCUGCUACCUGGAACCCUGAGCGACGUCGGAAGGCGUUGUCUCGGGUUUUUUAAGUCAAUUGCAACAUAGUUCCUGUAUUACUGUAUUUUCCUGGUGUGUUUGCACAUGGAUUUUUCACGGAUGACUGGGGUAUUUGUGCUGUCACUCUGACAGGCUUUAAAAACACGCGCCCCGCUGUUAACCCCUCUGGGCACGUGGACGGUACUAAUCGUGUUACACCACCAGCAAGCUGACAACAGCCGGCCAGAGAGCCAGCCCCUGACGACGUGUAACACCCGUCUUCGCCGUCGCUUUGCCCCAGAUCACGUCCAGAGUAAACGUCCACGUUCUCUGCUCUCUGUCACUGAAGGUCAGAGUACAUCUCAGAUGCGGAGGCCAGCGAGACAGGUGCCGUUUGGAACUGAAACUCGGUUUAUAGCGGGGCAAAAAGGACAAUAAACCACCCCCUUAUAAGUUC